AGUGAACGCUGGCGGUAGGCCUAACACAUGCAAGUCGAACGGCAGCACAGUAAGAGCUUGCUCUUACGGGUGGCGAGUGGCGGACGGGUGAGGAAUACAUCGGAAUCUACUUUUUCGUGGGGGAUAACGUAGGGAAACUUACGCUAAUACCGCAUACGACCUACGGGUGAAAGCAGGGGAUCUUCGGACCUUGCGCGAUUGAAUGAGCCGAUGUCGGAUUAGCUAGUUGGCGGGGUAAAGGCCCACCAAGGCGACGAUCCGUAGCUGGUCUGAGAGGAUGAUCAGCCACACUGGAACUGAGACACGGUCCAGACUCCUACGGGAGGCAGCAGUGGGGAAUAUUGGACAAAGGGCGCAAGCCUGAUCCAGCCAUACCGCGUGGGUGAAGAAGGCCUUCGGGUUGUUAAGCCCUUUUGUUGGGAAAGAAAAGCAGCAGGUUAAUACCCCGCUGUUCUGACGGUACCCAAAGAAUAAGCACCGGCUAACUUCGUG
rnacentral:rRNA from 1 species